UACGUAGGGUGCAAGCGUUGUCCGGAAUUAUUGGGCGUAAAGAGCUCGUAGGCGGUUUGUCGCGUCUGCUGUGAAAACUCGGGGCUUAACUCCGGGCCUGCAGUGGGUACGGGCAGGCUAGAGUUCGGCAGGGGAGACUGGAAUUCCUGGUGUAGCGGUGAAAUGCGCAGAUAUCAGGAGGAACACCGGUGGCGAAGGCGGGUCUCUGGGCCGAUACUGACGCUGAGGAGCGAAAGCGUGGGGAGCGAACAGG
rnacentral:rRNA from 1 species